rnacentral:tRNA from 1 species
AGGUUUUUGUUGUAAUUUUUAUAAGCAUCUGAGUCUCUUAAGCUCUAGGGUAAAAAAAGCCUA